UACAGAGGGUGCGAGCGUUAAUCGGAAUUACUGGGCGUAAAGCGCGCGUAGGCGGCUUUGCAAGUCGGGUGUGAAAUCCCCAGGCUUAACCUGGGGAACUGCAUUCGAGACUGCAUUGCUAGAGUAUGGGGAGAGGGAAGUGGAAUUUCAGGUGUAGCGGUGAAAUGCGUAGAUAUCUGAAGGAACAUCAGUGGCGAAAGCGACUUCCUGGACCAAUACUGACGCUCAUGUGCGAAAGCGUGGGGAGCAAACAGG
rnacentral:rRNA from 1 species